rnacentral:rRNA from 1 species
CCUACGGAUGACAGCAGUGAGGAAUAUUGGUCAAUGGGCGCGAGCCUGAACCAGCCAAGUCGCGUGAGGGAAGACGGUCCUAUGGAUUGUAAACCUCUUUUGUCGGGGAGCAAAGGACGCCACGCGUGGCGUUCCGAGAGUACCCGAAGAAAAAGCAUCGGCUAACUCCGUGCCAGCAGCCGCGGUACUACGGAGGAUGCGAGCGUUAUCCGGAUGUAGUGGGUUUAAAGGGUGCGCAGGCGGAAGAUCAAGUCAGCGGUAAAAGUGAGAGGCUCAACCUCUUCGAGCCGUUGAAACUGGUUUUCUUGAGUGAGUGAGAAGUAUGCGGAGUGCGUGGUGUAGCGGUGAAAUGCAUAGAUAUCACGCAGAACUCCGAUUGCGAAGGCAGCAUACCGGCGCUCAACUGACGCUCAUGUACGAAAGUGUGGGUAUCGAACAGGAUUAGAUACCCGUGUAGUC